rnacentral:rRNA from 1 species
UACGUAGGGUGCGAGCGUUGUCCGGAUUUAUUGGGCGUAAAGAGCUCGUAGGCGGUCUGUCACGUCUGCCGUGAAAACCCGAGCUUAACCUCGUGGCUUGCGGUGGAUACGGGCAGACUAGAGGUAGGUAGGGGAGAAUGGAAUUCCCGGUGUAGCGGUGAAAUGCGCAGAUAUCAGGAAGAACACCCGUGGCGAAGGCGGCUCUCUGGGACGGUACUGACGCUGAGACGCGAAAGCGUGGGGAGCGAACAGG